GAUGAACGCUAGCUACAGGCUUAACACAUGCAAGUCGCAGGGUAACAUGAGGAAAGCUUGCUUUCCUUGAUGACGACUGGCGCACGGGUGAGUAACGCGUAUCCAACCUUCCCAUAACUACGGGAUAACCCGUUGAAAGACGGCCUAAUACCGUAUGAUAUCGUUUGCUGACAUCAAAUAACGAUUAAAGGUUUAGCGGUUAUGGAUGGGGAUGCGUCUGAUUAGCUUGUUGGCGGGGUAACGGCCCACCAAGGCGACGAUAAGUAGGGGUUCUGAGAGGGAGGUCCCCCACAUUGGAACUGAGACACGGUCCAAACUCCUACGGGAGGCAGCAGUGAGGAAUAUUGGUCAAUGGGCGAUAGCCUGAACCAGCCAAGUAGCGUGCAGGACGACGGCCCUAUGGGUUGUAAACUGCUUUUAUGUGGGGAUAAAGUGCGUGACGUGUCAUGCAUUGCAGGUACCACAUGAAUAAGGACCGGCUAAUUCCGUG
rnacentral:rRNA from 1 species